AUGUCAGUUCUAGGUACUGGUGCUGAAGUGGAUUAUCUGGAGCAGUUUGGAACUUCCUCAUUUAAGGAGUCAGCCUGGAGGAAGCAGUCUUUGUACUUGAAAUUUGACCCCCUUCUUUGAAAGAGAGCCCUUUGUGGCCAACGCCAGUGGCCCCAGUGACAAAUAGUACACAGGAUACAGAGGAGUCUGGCUCUGGAAAUCUGAUAGAAGCCAAGCUUGUGGACUUAGAUUUCUUGGGAGGUCUGGAUGUUUCUGUAUCAGCCCCACCCCUGUGUGUCCUUGAGCCUAGAGGUCUCCUCGGUGCUGAGCCUUUUGUGGAUGUGCUGAAACAGCCAAAAAGACCUGGAUGCAGAGGUGAAUGUGAUGAAGCAGGAGAACUUGGGGCUGAGAAGCAAGUAUGAGGACCUCAACGCAAAGUAUUUGAAGAUGGGGAAGAUUGCUGAGGGGUUUGAGAAGAUUGUGUACAAGUCAAUGGAGGAGGCUGAGAAACAGAAGGAACUAGCCAAAGACAAAAUCCAAAAGGUUUUAAAAGAGAGAGACCAACUUAAUGCAGACCUGAACUCCAUGGAAAAGUCCUUCUUUGACCUUUUUCUAGCGGUUUGAAGAGCAGGAGGAAGUGAUUGAAGGCUACCAGAAGAAUGGAGAGUCACCGAAGAAGUGUGUUGAGGAGUACAUAGAGAAGAUUGGAAAAGAAGGCUUGAGGUACCAGGUGCUGAAGGCCCAUGCAGAACAAAAUCUCAAGCUGGCAAAUGAGGAGAUCACCCAAAUACACAGCAAGGGCCUGGCUUUGCAGGCAAGCCUGAGGAAAGCACAGAUGCAGAUCCACUCACUGGAGAAGACUGUGGAGCAGAAGACUAAAGAAAACGAUGAGCUGACAAGGAUCUGUGAUGACCUAUCUCUAAGAUGGAGAAGAUCUGA